CGGGGUGCAGCAGGCGCGAAACCUUUACAAUGCUGGCAACAGCGAUAGGGGGACCUCGAGCGCCAGGUUACAAAUCUGGCUGUCGUUGUGUCUAAAAAACACGAUAUAGCAAGGGCCGGGCAAGACCGGUGCCAGCCGCCGCGGUAACACCGGCGGCUCGAGUGGUAACCGUUAUUAUUGGGUUUAAAGGGUCUGUAGCCGGCCUGGUUAGUCCUUUGGGAAAUCCGGCAGCUCAACUGUCGGGCUUUCAGAGGAUACUGCCAGGCUCGAGACCGGGAGAGGUAAGAGGUACUUCAGGGGUAGGGGUGAAAUCUUGUAAUCCUUGAAGGACCACCAGUGGCGAAGGCGUCUUACCAGAACGGAUCUGACGGCAAGGGACGAAAGCUAGGGGCACGAACCGGAUUAGAUACCCGGGUAGUCCUAGCCGUAAACGAUACUCGCUAGGUGUCGGCCACGGUGCGACCGUGGUCGGUGCCGUAGGGAAACCGUGAAGCGAGCCACCUGGGAAGUACGGCCGCAAGGCUGAAACUUAAAGGAAUUGGCGGGGGAGCACAAGGGCGAAUAGCGGC
rnacentral:rRNA from 1 species